GAAGUAUAAGUCGCAUAUCUCUUUACGCGACUCUAGCUAAAGUUCGAGAGCGUGGUUCGUGUUCGUGAAUAAUGUGAUCUAGUCUUUCCACAGUUUCACAGAGAAGCUUGGAAUCCAUUGGCAGUUGUGACUGACGUAUUUUGUACAGCCAAAAGCCAGUGAUCAGCAGUAUAAACAACCCCAAGCCCGUAAAUAAUCCUGCAACAGAAAGAAGUCAGAAGGAAACAACCAUCGACAAUGUGAGGUGCAGUAUAUUUAAGAGUUAGAAUUCCUAACCUGCAUACAGUGCAGUGUUUCUUUCAGGUGGCACAAAAAUGCAACCAGUGCCGUGUUUUGUGCCAUCGCCAAAAUAGUUACGUGGGCAAGAGCAGUUAUAUAAACCUUGAAGAUUGGUGCAUAGGGCUACCGAAUGGCAUGGAUGAAACUCACAUUCAUCGAUAUCUAUGAUCAUAUAAAGUAAAUUAGUCUCAAACACAAUAUUUAUGUUUUUGCACAGCUGGGAAUGACUGACCAAUUAGUAUUCGUAUAACUAUUCGCAUAAUAUGUAAAAUAUGCCAACCUUGGCAACCUUGGCUGAGAUAUGGAUUUCCCUGA